CAGUUCUCCGAGAAGGUUGGGACAUGCUUCGUGUGGUUCAGUAAGGUAUACAUCUGAAGUAUGACAAAGACAGAGUCAAUCUCGACACAGUCCACAUCAACACACAAGGAGACCUGGUCAACAGGGAGUCGGACACCAGACCUGCAGGGGAGGGGAGACUGAAGAAGUAUGAUGGCACAAGUAGCACUGCCCCCCUCCCCCGGGCUGGCUGUCCCCAGUACUGGGAG